GAACGCUAGCGACAGGCUUAACACAUGCAAGUCGAGGGGCAGCACAGGUAGCAAUACCGGGUGGCGACCGGCGCACGGGUGAGUAACGCGUAUGCAACUUGCCUAUCAGAGGGGGAUAACCCGGCGAAAGUCGGACUAAUACCGCAUGAAGCAGGGGCCCCGCAUGGGGAUAUUUGCUAAAGAUUCAUCGCUGAUAGAUAGGCAUGCGUUCCAUUAGGCAGUUGGCGGGGUAACGGCCCACCAAACCGACGAUGGAUAGGGGUUCUGAGAGGAAGGUCCCCCACAUUGGUACUGAGACACGGACCAAACUCCUACGGGAGGCAGCAGUGAGGAAUAUUGGUCAAUGGGCGCGAGCCUGAACCAGCCAAGUCGCGUGAGGGAUGAAGGUUCUAUGGAUCGUAAACCUCUUUUAUAAGGGAAUAAAGUGCGGGACGUGUCCCGUUUUGUAUGUACCUUAUGAAUAAGGAUCGGCUAACUCCGUGCCAGCAGCCGCGGUAAUACGGAGGAUCCGAGCGUUAUCCGGAUUUAUUGGGUUUAAAGGGUGCGUAGGCGGCCUUUUAAGUCAGCGGUGAAAGUCUGUGGCUCAACCAUAGAAUUGCCGUUGAAACUGGGGGGCUUGAGUAUGUUUGAGGCAGGCGGAAUGCGUGGUGUAGCGGUGAAAUGCAUAGAUAUCACGCAGAACCCCGAUUGCGAAGGCAGCCUGCCAAGCCAUUACUGACGCUGAUGCACGAAAGCGUGGGGAUCAAACAGGAUUAGAUACCCUGGUAGUCCACGCAGUAAACGAUGAUCACUAGCUGUUUGCGAUACACUGUAAGCGGCACAGCGAAAGCGUUAAGUGAUCCACCUGGGGAGUACGCCGGCAACGGUGAAACUCAAAGGAAUUGACGGGGGCCCGCACAAGCGGAGGAACAUGUGGUUUAAUUCGAUGAUACGCGAGGAACCUUACCCGGGUUUGAACGCAUUCGGACCGAGGUGGAAACACCUUUUCUAGCAAUAGCCGUUUGCGAGGUGCUGCAUGGUUGUCGUCAGCUCGUGCCGUGAGGUGUCGGCUUAAGUGCCAUAACGAGCGCAACCCUUGCCACUAGUUACUAACAGGUAAAGCUGAGGACUCUGGUGGGACUGCCAGCGUAAGCUGCGAGGAAGGCGGGGAUGACGUCAAAUCAGCACGGCCCUUACAUCCGGGGCGACACACGUGUUACAAUGGCGUGGACAAAGGGAAGCCACCUGGCGACAGGGAGCGAAUCCCCAAACCACGUCUCAGUUCGGAUCGGAGUCUGCAACCCGACUCCGUGAAGCUGGAUUCGCUAGUAAUCGCGCAUCAGCCAUGGCGCGGCGAAUACGUUCCCGGGCCUUGUACACACCGCCCGUCAAGCCAUGGGAGCCGGGGGUACCUGAAGUCCGUAACCGCGAGGAUCGGCCUAGGGUAAAACUGGUGACUGGGGCUAA
rnacentral:rRNA from 1 species